UCUACAGAUUUUUUUCUACAGCAAAAUAUUUAAAGCUACAACCAUUACCAAUCGGACCCAUUAUAGUCAAUAUAUAUGAUGUGAUUUUAGUAAUGAUUCCAAAUAUUAUUAAUAAAUAAAUGAAAUAUGACUUUCUAGUAAUGGUCUAUUUUUUAGAAUAUUACACAUGAUUCAUGGGGCUUGCCCGCGGGCCUGGCCCGGAAAUGCCCAUUGCGGGGCGGGAUUGGGUAAAGAUAUUAUGGCCCGUUUAGUUGCGGGUCUUGCGGGACAGGACCGCGAUGGUACUGGGCCGAAGCGGGACGGGCCAAAGCGGGAUGCGGGGAAACAUUGAGGCCCGCUACAGUUUUCUCGUUUGUCUCUUUGGUGAUUUACCGAUAAUAGAGCUAAACGGUGAACAGGUGAUGACGAUAGCGAUUCUUGCUCUCUGUGUUUCUUCUUCUUCGAUCGAGUGAUCGACGACGACAAAGCAUCUUCUUCUUCUCCUCUGUACAGUAGAUCGACUUGCAUGUCCAGAGUUAUUUAGCUCGUGCCUCUCUGUUUACACGAUUUUAGAUUUAUGUUCGUCCUUUCAAAGGUAAGUAAUCUUCUUCAUAAGUAUUUAGCUCGUCCCUUCAUAACGAAGGUAAGUAAUCUUCUUCCUUGUUCUGUCUCUAUCCCUGUGAAUGUGUUCUGUGAAUCUUCUUAGUUAGAUUAUGUCUCUCUGCGAAAGUAUUUUUUCCUAACAGUGUAAUGAUAUAUAUAUAUAUAUAUAUAUAUAUUGUGUUGUUAUGUUUUGUUUAUGUAUUAGAUGGCUUGGUUGUAUAAGCGUUGUUCUCUUUUUGUUCUGCUUACUCUCGGUUGCUAGUUAUUAAUUAAAAAAUUCAACACAACUUUACUCUUGGUUGUUUCUGUAUUGUUCUGUUUUUGUUUCGGUAUUGAUAUAUAUAUAUAUAAUUAUAUAUAUAUAUAUAGUGUCGUUCUUCUUUUGUUUCUGUAUUAGAUGGCUUUGUUGUUUUUUAAGUAUUGUUCUGUUUUUGAUUCUUGUUGAUAACACGGUUCAAGCACUCUUGUUAUCUUGUUUGAUAACAGACUGGUCUUCUUUUUUAUUAAAUAUCGCUUACACUUGUUUUGUUUUUCACGCAUGAUCAUGAAUUCAUGAGUCGAUACUUGUUUGAUGGAGUGAUGUUGGACAAGGAGAGGAGAGACUGAUAUUAUUCCCUUCUGCCUUCGGGUUGCUUCAGGACUUGAGGUGACACAGGUCCCAAGCCUUGAUGAAGAUUGCUGGCCCGCGGGCCGACCCGCAUACCCGCUGCUAUAGGGCGGGUCGGGAUUGGUCAUAGGUUUCAGAGACCGCAGCCCGCCGCGGUACGACCCGCAGAGACUCGAAUGAAACUGAGCCCGCGACGGGGCGGGUCAUUUGGUUGCGGGAGAGCCCAAAUGCCAUCACUAGGUUUAAACUUGGAAUUAGAUCAUUACAUAUGAAAUUUAUUUUGCGUAUAAGACAUCAAGCUCUAACUGAAAGUCACUUUUAAAAUAUUUUUGGUAGAGUAAAAAGUAGUUUUCAACGAGUUACGCUAAAAUUAGCCCACUUAAAAAAAAAUAGUUACUCUGAUUUAGAGUAAAUGUUUUUGUCUUCUUAUAUUUAUAGAGUAAUUUUUUUUCUAAA